UAAGCGUUUGAUUGAAGAUGAAUGAAAUACCAAAAAGUGAAACUACGCCUGACAAUUAUUGAACAGUUGUUUUUGUAGAUAAGUAUUAGUGGUAUGGAAGUGACAAUAAAUAAAUUGUAUAAAUUACAUACGGGCAGAUCAUACAAAAAUGAUAACAAUGUUAUAAAUUAACACGAACCCCCCAAAAAAACAAAAAAAAACAACAACAACCUUACCGAAGACCGAGUUGUUCAUGAGUUUGAAGAAGUUCUUCUCGUAAGCAGUCUUGGCUUGUUGUCGCAUUUUGGUGUUGAACUCAACGUAGGGUUUCAUGAAAGCCUCUUGUUGGAACUCUAAUACUUUAUGUAUUUUUUUCAAUUUUAGACCGAGUUGGAGAUACAGUUGCAGGUUGCGAUAGUGAAGUACAUAAUUCUGUUUGUUUUCUAAAGUGCUUGGGGAUGUCUCGCCAGAACUUAGACAGAAUGCUGGAGAACUACGAUACAACUUCACAUUAACAUCCACUUGGUUUAACAGAUCGAGAUAGUCCAUCGAAUUCUGACCACUGAUUUGAAACUCAAUGGGAGUAUCAUCCGACACUUGGGAUAUUGGACGAAUCUCUUGAUAAUGGACAUCAUUCACCGCAACUUGUGUAGGAGCUCACUUUUCGCCUGGUUUACUGUCUGUUCCGAUGGGGAAACUGUGCUGAUUGUCAUACCAUUACUUCCCAUCUUCGACUUGUGUGGAAUGGCAAAUCCCCUCCCAACUUGAGAUCAUCCGGGGAUAUCGCCAUAUUGAAAACCCGCCAGAGGUUCGGUCCACGUCCAUGGUGCUCGGGAUGAGUCAUUGGAGGACGAAGAUCGGGUGUCCUUAUGCUGCCAUGAAAUGUCGUUUUUAUGAUGUCCAAUUAUGUUCAAAAAUAAACAACUUGGAGAAUGUG